AAUAAUUAAUGAGAGAAAUGCAAGCAGACCUUGUUGACCUAUUAAUUUAUUGGAAAGUGGUGGUUUCAGCAGUCUGAUGUUGUCUCAGUAUUUGGAAGCCAGAAAAGUACAGUAAGAGUAGUGGUAUGUGAUGUACAUCUAGAUCACUUACUUGUAAUGAAGGAAAGAAAAAGAGAUUGACGUUUCCUACUCCUAGCCCAGCAGUAGAUACCUUUCACUGCUGAAAUCCAGAUAUGUCCAGAUCUGCCAUAAAACAGCUCUCCUUGGGAUGUUGGGCAAUGUCCUAGAGUACGUGAUCCCAUAACUAGAAUACUACUAGAUAACACAAAAUACACACUGUAAGGCACUUUAAAACCUUUCAGGCAAGUAUCCCUAAAACUGAUGUAAGCAAAGUCACAGCAGGUUGAUGUUGUGCUUUUUCUGCCAGGGAACAAGAGGAGAGGGAAAACAUUCAGUGGCUGAAGGUUUCCUCCAGUGCCAUCCAAUGACUGAGGGAAAGGGAGCAGAACUGUGACACUUGCAUGCAUACCAGAAUCACAAAGUUCCCUGAAUCUCUGAGAAGAAUAGGCCUAUUGUACAUGACUUUGAAAAAGAAAAAUCAGAAGCUGAUGGGGUGCUGGUCAACAUAAACAGAGAGCCUGAUGGCCUACAUUUGUCCAGAGAUGCUUUUGGGUAGAGAUAAGGCAAGCUUCUUCCCACCAAAUAUGGGAUAACUGUGCUAGAAUGACUCAAUGCUGCUGGUGUAAGGUGACUGAGAAUCUGCUCAGGCAUGAAAGGAUAAGGCCCUGUGCUCAACUUGUGGACAGAGGGGAGUUAAAUGCUGAUUAUUUGGCUGACAAAAGUUGGGGGAGGAUUGUGGUGUAUCCCCACUACAGAAGCUCAGUUAAAUAAGAAAUACGAAGCUGUUGGCUCAGUGUGCUGAGAUGGACAAGUUUCUGCAGACAGUAACACCAUGGGACAUAUUUGUCUAAUGUUAGACCUGGCUGCCUUUAAAAUUGCAUUCUGAAUUUUGAGGUACUUCACUACUGGGUGUAUGGGUAUGACACUAUCCUGGAGAAAGACUCAAUCAUUGCCUGUGGGAGCAAGAAACUCAAAUGACAGCCAUCACACCUCUAAGGGACUCAGUGUUCAUCACAGGCACAAGUAUUUGAUAGAUCCUGAUGGAGUACUUCACUGCUGUUCCCAACACAGAAGGGAUAAAUAGGGAUGCCUUAUCAUCCUGUUUUAUCAUCUCUUUCCAAGGUUCCUGGAGUUAUGAAGUCAUUGCAAUUCAGGUAGAAGGCUUUACACUGAUCCUCCAGACAAGCUGAGUGAGACCUUUGAGUUGAGGUGCUGCAUCUCAAGCAUUUUCCACCCAUGUGCAAGCCCUUACUUCACUAAAGAAUGAAGACACAGUCUUUCCACUUCCAUAUGCUCAGGUCAGCCAUGUGGGAAAACACUGACUUUUCCAUGCCAAGGCAAUGCUCUUUGCAAUAUUCUUUGCUUCUUCACUAGAGCAUUUCCAAAAGGACUGGAGAAGAAUUGGAAAGCAACCAGAGCUUGAUGCUGUGACUUAUUAAACAAACAAACAAAAAAAAAAGGUUGACUGGAUGGCCAAAUGUUUCUCCCCCCCAAAAAAUGCCAUCAUUUUUUGCUUCCCCAGCACAGGACCCAGAUGGGACCAAAAUAACAAUCAUCCUACUUUGCUUCUGGUACAUGUCAUUAAUUUAACACCAGGGAUGUUGUUGAUAGACACCAGUUUCUCAGCCUUCCAAUGUUAUUAGCGAUACGGAAUCUGCUGCGGAAUCUGGUACAAUGCCUUGUUUGCAGUGGCUUUGCUGCAUGAAAAGAGAAAGUCCAGUCACCACAGUUACAGGGAUGUAUGAAAUGCUUGUUCUUUAGCAUGACUCUUAACACAGAGCAUGUAUUCACAGGCAGCAACUGCAUCAUGGACAGGCUUCAGCAGUGGCCUUACCAUGCCCAUGUCAGACUCCACUGCUCCCCACCUCCUGCUUGCCUCCCAAAGCGAUAUAAAUGGAUUGCUAUCGCUCGGUGCCGAUGCCCUCUCUGCUAAUGUUUGUUUCAUGCAUGCUAAUGAGAAGACUGGUAAGAACAGAUUUAUGUUUGGCUCGGCUCAGAGGUAACACGCAUGAAAACGCUGACACAAAUGCUGAAUAAAAGGGAUUUGAAAAUCAA